rnacentral:misc_RNA from 1 species
UUUUGCGCAUUUCACGGUAUCCAACAUAUCAAACACAUCAUUAAUGUAUUUUCGCUGAGUUGGCAAUUCUUCUGUUAAUGUUUUUUAGCAAUUUAUAACCUCUAUCAUAGCGGUAAAACUUUAGUAUUAAAAAAAUUAGAAUAAUUAAAGUGAAUUAAUACUUGGAGUGAAGCAAGAUUGGAUUCAUCGAUCAUGACUUUAACUAAUAAAAUCAUCAAUGGACUUCAGUAUUGUACAAAUAAUAGUUUCAUUAAAGCUAAGGGAUUUCAUGCAUCAGCUUCACGUCUUUUAGAUCAAGAUUGGCGAAGAAUUAAAGGACUUCCAUCAAAUCCUAAUGCUUUUGGACCUUUAACAAAUCUACCCGACUAUUCUUUUACUGAUGGUAGACCAGUACCUUUUGGAGUAAAACAAUAUCUUCGGAUUCAAAAACAAAGAAAAUAUUUUGAGAAAAUAACUAAAUUGGUCAAAGAAAUCGAUUUUGCAGUUGAAAAUCACGAAAGGCGAACACAGGAAGCCGAAGAGAAAAGAAGAAAAAUUAUAGAAAACAAAUUAAAACCAAAAGGUCAAAUGAUCUUAGGGGAAUCAAAUACAAGUCAAUAGUUAAUCCUUUUUAACGUACGAUUGAGGUUGACGGACAAACAGGGAGAUGAAAAUUUAAAGUUGAUGCUAUAAAUUUUUUCGCGUGAUAAAAUGGAAAGAAGUCGGUAAUAAUACCAAACAAUCUGAUCAAUGUUCUAGCAAAUUCCAUAUCCUAAAUUACAUUUUAAUAUUAAUACGAUUUAUUCACCAAUUACAUUAUGACCAUCAAAUGAUUGCGAAGAACAACUGAAUUGUUCUCAGGUGAUGUAUGUAAUAAUCGAUAAUGCAGCAUCGACAAAAAGAAGAUAACGAAGAGAUACUCAAUGUUUGAUUGCAAGUUAUAGUUACAUCACCUGAAUUCGUCCUGAAGUAACAAACCGACUCCAUCAUAUGUUUAGUCCCAC